UUACCAUGCAUAUGCAUGUAUAAGUCAACCUCAUGUAUAAAUCAAGGGGUGGUUUGGGGACCUAAAUUAUAGAUUUUUAUAUGACCAAUGGAUAAAUUGAGGGUGGACAGGGGAAAGCACCAAUGCCAUCUCAGAGGACUGACUGCAUCAGCCCCACUUGACUGUCAUCGUCUCACCAUCUGUGUCACUGUCACCACACAUAGCCAGCCCCAGAGAUCAAUGCAAGCUCCUAGCUGCAGUGGACACCCCUCUUGUGACAUCAGGAGAUGCUGACCCCACCUUCAGUUGCCCUUCCACAAAGCCAUAUAACCCAGAAUAUCAAGGCAGAUAAUUCACUCUAUCUGCUUUAAACUGCAUUAUCUGAGUCCACACUGCCAUAAAAUCCAGUCCAAUGUGGAUUUUAUACAGCUGUGUGGAAGGGGCCUCAUUUGAUAUCAGAACAAGACACCUGUAAUGGCCAGGAAUAAUAACAGUGGUGACAAGGGAAUGGUCCAUAGGGAAAUAAGGGAAAAGGUGAUAGUGGUGAUGUCCUGUGUGGACAGUGGAUUGAUUCAAAUUGGUAACUCAGGAAUUGCUGGUAAAAUGCUGGAGAUAGAAGAAUAUGAAAAUAGAGACAUUAGAUUCAGAUCUGGUGAGUUCUGAGAGCAAUAAAUAAAUUUCCCAGGCUUGUACUGCUGUUUUGUGUGGUGUCAAGUAAUUUGUUUACUCAUGGCAACAUUAAAGUGAGCCUAUCACAGGAUUUUCUUGCCAACAUUUGUUGAAAAGAGGCUUGCCAUUGCCUUCCUCUUAAACAAAGAGAGUGUGACUUGCCCACGUCCACCCCAUAGUUCCCAUGGUCAAAAGGGAGUCAAACUCUGAUCUUCCAGUGUCCUAAUCCAACACAGAGCACUGCACUAUGCUAACCCUCAACUGAGAUGUGUCAGAAGUGGGGUUUGAACCCAUGCUUAUAUUUGGAGACCAUUUGUACAUAUAUUUCAUUAGAGUCUGGUAAAUGCAUCUUGGUUUUCUUGCCACCUCCAUCCACACAUGCUGAAAGGCUGGAACCUGCUGAAGAAGUAUUAUUGGAAUCCCAAUGGCACAUAUAUCUCAAAUAACCAAAGCCGGCUCAUUCUACACUCUCUGCUGCUCCUGGAGGCUGUUUGCAAGUGCAAGAGUUUUUUCCCCUUCAUAGAGACAGCUGACUUCCUUGGUGAGAGCUUUGAUUUCUGCAGCAUCCACCACACAUACAAACACAAGGAGCAAUGGCAGGGCUGACAAAAAGCAAAGUUUUGCUCUACUAUUUUCCACAUAAAACAGGAAAAGAAGCAGAAAGCCAAGAGGAUAAAAUUGAGGUGAAAAAGCAAAGAACAUGACUACACCUUCCUCUGCAAACAAAGUUAUCAUCUGCCUUUUGAAGAAGAAUAGCUGCGUUUACAAAUCCAACAUAAACUGGCUAGUUCUGCCCUUUCUUCUCCCCACAGCAUAUAAAAGUUCCUCAUCUGGGCUAUAGCUGCUUGGGGGAAUGUGGAAGUUGUGGUCCCCAAAAGAAACUUUUUAAAACUCCGCUUCUGUCAUACAAGUGCAAUCUUGUUCAUGUCCCAUCCGUUCCACAGACUGAAAAGAAGAUCAGAUCUACUGGACCCACCUGCAUUGUAGAUAUGUCCGUUGUCUCUGCUAAUACUCUAUCAUUGGAUCUUCAUGCAUUUUUGGUGAAGAUUUGAAGAAGUGUCUACAGCUGUUGGAUUUGAAUCACAGGCUUUAAAAAGAAAGCAAACAGGAAGUAAUCAUGAUGAAAAAUGGUUGGUACAAGGAUAAGAAAGAGGAAGUCAUAGAAUCAUAGAGUUGGAAGAGACCACAUGGGCCAUCCAGUCCAACCUCCUGUCAUACAGGAAAGGCACAAUCAAAAUAACCCUGACAGAUGACCAUCCUGCCUCUGUUUAAAAGCCUCUAAAGAAGGAGUUUCCCAAACACUCCAAGGCAGAAAUUUCCAUUGUUGAACAUUUUUUACAGUCAAGAAGUUCAUCCUAAUGUUCAAGUGAAAUUUCCUUUACUGUAUUUUGAACCCAUUGCUCUGAGUUCUAGUCUCCAGGGCAGAAAACAAGCCUGUUCCUUCUUCCUUAUGACAUCAUUUCAAAUAUUUAUACAUGGCUAUCAUGUCUCCUCUCAACCUUCUCUUCUGCAGGCUAAACAUACCCAGCUCUUUAAGGGCAUAAUCUCCAGACCUUUGAUGAUUUUAGUCACCCUCCUCUGGACACGUUCCAGCUUGUGAAUAUCUUGCCAGCUAGUUUUAAGAAAAUGGAUGCCAGGGCCAAUUUUCUGGUAGACUGUAUUUGUGCAUUUUUCACAUAGCUCUUUUUUGGAGGAUAAGGGUUAUUUUCAUAGGGAGAAAAUCUAGUUGCUCUGGUACACAAUAAAAUAUGAUCAAAUAAAUUUUGGACAUAUACACAAAUUAAACUUAGAACUUUGGCCAGAAUACAAAUAUACAGCUGAGAAAUAUACAGACAUGAUCUAACUGAUAAUACUCUGGGAACACUAAGCUUCAAAAACCUUUGGAUCUGUUCUUCUGUCUGGCUCUGUCUGAAUGUUUUUGGAUCUGAAUCACAACUUCUAUAUUUCAGCUUCCAGGGUUUAUCCCUCACUUUGUUUGCUGGGUGCCUUUCAAAAAUCUCUUCUCCAGUUAAACUAUUUGACUUUUCCUGCAAGUAAAGACUGCAGGAUUCAUAUGUGCUUUCCUUUCUUUACAAGCCCUCAAAGUUUGACAGGUUGAGUAUCCCUUAUCCAAAAUGCUUGAGAUACGAAGUGCUUGUGAUUUUAGGAUAGCGGUAUUUGCAUAUAGAGUAGAGUCUCACUUAUCCAAGCUAAACGGGCUGGCAGAAGCUUGGAUAAGUGAAUAUUUUGGAUCAUAAGGACGGAUUGAGGAAAAGCCUAUUAAACAUCAAAUUAGGUUAUGAUUUUACAAAUUAAGCACCAUAACAUCAUGGUAUACAACAAAUUUGACAGAAAAAGUAGUUCAAUACGCAGUAAUGUUAUGCUGUAAUUACUGUAUUUACGAAUUUAGCACCAAAAUAUCACGAUAUAUUGAAAAAAUUGACUACAAAAAUGGCUUGGAUUAUCCAGAGGCUUGGAUAAGCGAGGCUUGGAUUAGUGAGACUCUACUGUAUAUACAUAAUGAGGUAUCUUGGAGGUGAGACCCAAGCCUAAAUACAACAUUCAUUUAUGUUUCACAUAUGCCUUAUACAGGUAAUCUGAAGAUAAUUUUAUAUACAAUAUUAAUGUUGUGCAUGAAACCAAGUUUGUGUACACAGUCACUCAUUUGCACAAUUUUGGAUUUCAGAAUAUUUUGGAUUUUGGAAACACAUCUUUUUUAAAAAUUUAGAUCCACUUCUUUAGAAGCCUUUCUUGAAGCACUACAUGGUUCAAGUUACCUACACAAUCUUUUCCUCCUAUAUAAUCCAUCUCAUACACUAAGGUCCUCUGGAGGAUGCAUAUUUCAGCCAGCCCGAACCUGACUGGCAGCUGUCACCCAAAGGAUGAUUUCAUCAGCAGCAUCCAGACUGUGGAAUGACCUGCCAAUAGAGAUCCAACAGCUAAAUGAGCUGCUGAAAUUUAAGAUACAAUUAAUAUUUAUUUAUUUAUAUCCCACUUUAUCUCUCCAUAUGGAGACUCAAAGCAGCUCACAAUUAAAAACAUUACAAUGCAGAUUAAAAUAUACAAAUAUAUAACAAUAAAACAGUAUUAUCAAUAUAUAUUAUUAUAUAUUAUCAGUAGUAUUAUAAUUAAUAUAUUAGUAUUAUUGAAGACCCAUCUCUUCCGGCAGGCCUACCCAGUCAAUUUUAAACUAUAAAUUUUAAUGUAUAUUCUAUUAGUAUUGUAUUUAAAUCUUUGUGCUAUGUAUUUUGGUAUAUGUAUGUUAUAGGAAUGUGUUUUUAAUACUUCAUAUUUAAUAUUUUAUGGUAAUGGUACCCUGUCUUGGGCCAUGAGGAAAGAUAUAUAACAAGUUGCUGCUGCUGCUGCUGUUGUUAUUACAAUAUUUCAUACGUGUCUGGGGUUUAAUGAUUUUACCCAAUUUGUAUAUAGCCAUAGUGUUAAUUGUUUUAGUAAUUUUUAAUUGUUAUAUAGUUUAAUAUGUUUUAGACUGUAAUUUUUUUUACUCUUAAUAUUUUAAGUGUAUAUUGUUUGUCUUGAGAACUUUGUAUAUAGGGCAAGAUAUACAUUAAUAAACAAAUAAAUAAACAAACAAAUGACCAGCCUUU